CCAGCUUUGCAUGAGCACUUUGUCCAUGGUCCAGAGAAAGGGAAUUUUGUGUGAGGUUCUUCUGAAACAAGCCACAAUUCACAUUAAAAUGCCAUACAAAAAUGACUUUCCACGAUUGAACAACAGAGAUUCCUGGAUAAGCUGGAUCAGGGCAGAAGGAACCCAGCCUGAACGGCAGCACAAAGCAGGACCCCAGAUUGCUCAGACAUCGGGAGGAGCACAGGGAAGGGAGCUGUCUGAUACAGAAAUGACAAAACGGACAGAAGGAGAGCAACCAUUACUUCCACACCAGAAGCUAAAAGCCACCUCAGCAGUGUGAAGAUUCCUGUGCUCUGCUGGCCCUCUAGGCACACAGGCAGUCAGGAGCAUGUGAAAUGCCAACAUCACCAACUCAUUUGUUUGAAAACCAAAAGCUUUCCUCGAAUUCAACAUUCUUACACUGCCUUGUUUCCAGCCGACCACUUGGCCUCUACAACAUCAAUGGAAGUAGGAUGAAUUCUGGAUGUCAAAAAGAAGAGGAGAGAGCCACUGAGAUCUUUGAAAAGCAGAGUGAAGUUUUUCAUGAGCUGCUCAUCAGUUGCUACAUCCCCCACUAUGAGCUCACAUCUCGAUGAAGCUUCUGUUGUGAGGCUCACCAUUGGUUCUUUACAUGUGAGGAAACUUCUGGGUGCUGUGAUGCUUUUUUCUGCUUCACCUCAAAAUCCCUGUGCUGCUUUUUCUGCCCAUCUUAGAAGGACAGAAAUGGAAAAGCAAAUCGAAAUGACAAAGAGCAAAGCAGAAGGGCUGCUGAGAGGAGUAACGCUUCGGAGCACCGGCCUCACCCCAGUCCCAUCUGUUGAAGAAUCUCAUAAAUGUAACACAGGCUUACAGAGAAGAAACGAAUUUAUUAUACAAAGUAUCCAGUUGUAACCCUGGAAAUUCUGAAGGAAAAACUUUAUGUACCAGGAAAGUUCUGGCAAAAUUGUACACAAACAGAAGGCUGUUUGAGGCUUUGGAAUUAUUAAAGCAAGUUCCAGGACAUGAGAAAUUAUCCAGUCUCUGUAAGACCACGUCUUUGUUCUGUUGUUCUGUUUUUCUUCAGCUAUUAACCACCUUAAUACACUGAUGUUGGCAGCUAAGGACAGGAGAUAGAAUUAGUGGAAGAGUCUUAUUGCAUUUUAAGAUUGUGUUAAACACACAAGCACAUCGCAGCUCUCUGAAGAACGUGACUCCUGUAAUCUUUCUUCAAGAGUUAUCAGUGGAUCUUCCUUCACAGACCUAGUGGUAGAGACAGUGAACAU
rnacentral:lncRNA from 1 species